UGUGAAAGAUUAAUAAUUUAGAAAGGAUUUUAUGAAUUGCUAUGGAGAGCAUUAAGAUUUAAUUGAUUAAUUGGGAAAUGUUAAUUUUACUCAUCCCUAAUUCAAGACAUUUGUUAAUCUUCAGAAUAUGAGAUGUUAGUGAAAACAAAAGCUUUUUGUCUUUUGUCUCUCUAAUUUAACCCGUUUUCUUCCCUCAUUCUUUAUUUCUCACUCCUUAGGCUCGUAAGUUGACCCCAUUCAACAACUACUAGGGCUUUCCAAUUGCAAGAAAACAGCUGGCAUUCAAAUUGGAUUCCCGGUCUAAUUUCCUCUAAGAUUGAUCUGACCCAGGGGAUUGCCUUUUUCAUCAAAUUAGACCUGACCAAUGUGUUUUUUUUUUUUCCUGAAAGUGUGACUUUUUUUUCUUUCCCAAGAGGCAUCAACAAGCAAAGGGUCCAAAGCAACAGUGCCUAUAGGCUCUGGUAAAGGAUUUGCAUCUUGAAUGGGUAACCUGCAGUUCUCCUCAAUGAAGACAUCAGAUCAAAGUUCAACCAGUCAAAGCCCUGCUAAAACGUUAAGGAGGCCGGCACGUACACAAAGGCACGGGAUGAACGGCAACUGCUGCCUCAGGAGAGGGGUUAAAAAAACACACUGGAAUCCCUGAUCCAGAUUAAGAGUGGAUUAUGGCGUUCACAAUGGAGCCGGUUUCAUUUGAAUUCACUAAAGAAUUUUGUUCAAUAUUUCAGUUUUUAAUGGUUAUUGUAAACUUUCCAUAGGAUUAAAAAUAGGGGAGAAAACUUCAUUAUCCUCUU